GUGUCCUGGCACUGCUGGGGGGCAGCAGGCAGGGUACUGGGGGCUGCGCAUCGCCCUGCCGUGACCGCACAGUGACAGGCAGGGACACGCAGCCACGUGGGUCCUUCUGGGAAAUGACCGUGCUGCCGAGUCGCUGAGCUUCCACGAAGUUGGCUGCUUAUGGGAAGCACUCCUGUACUAAUGUUCAACCCAGGGCUGGUAGAGAGGAGAGGAAAAAAGGAACGCAGCUGGCAGUACCAUGGUCCCAAGGUACCUCUGCGAGCUGUGCCAGUCCCACUUUUCUCCGGAGUUCUGCCUGGGGUCCCACAUGCUGCUGUCUGCUUCUCCUACGUGUCCCACUGCUGUGCUGCAGAGCACGGGCACAGAAGCCAGUGGGUAGAAAGCUCCUCUGCCUGGGCUGGCCCUUUUGAUGCUCGUUGGCACAUUUGCCCCAUUGCAGCUUUCCACCAGGCCCCCCAUGGCAUUUUUGUCAGAGCUGCAGGGAAACGCCAGCUUUGUCUGGGGCUGCUGGACACAGGGAGAUGGCACUGGAGAGACAGAAGGAGGUUCCCAAUGGGUUCAAUGACAUCUGAGCAACGCCCCUGUGUGCUGCUGGGUUGGGCUGUCCCCGGAGAGCACUUCACGGGAGCUCUGUUCUCAGUGAAAGGCACCCAGCAUGGAGGCCCAUCUCUGGACUCCCCCACUUGCUCCCAGAGUGCCGCCAGGUACUCGGAGGGACCUGGAUGAGGAAAACUGAACUGCCACAUGAAGAUGGGUCUGCCUGGGUGAGCAGUGCCUGCACUGAGGUGCCACUGCAUUGCAUCUGGCUUUGCUUUGGGAGUGCUCUUGGAGAGGAGAGUUUGGGCCUGAGCUUGAGGCUGUAUUCUCUGAAAAACAAACGCCCAGCAGCACGAGGAGCUCACCCCUUAACAUCGCAUGGCCGUGCCUUCGCCAUUCCUUCCUCUUUUCUUCAUCCUGCAUUCAAG
ensembl:lncRNA